UACAGAGGGGGCAAGCGUUGUUCGGAAUUACUGGGCGUAAAGGGCGCGUAGGCGCCUUCUAAGUCGAACGUGAAAUCCCCGGGCUCAACCCGGGAACUGCGUCCGAUACUGGAAGGCUUGAAUCCGGGAGAGGGAUGUGGAAUUCCAGGUGUAGAGGUGAAAUUCGUAGAUAUCAGGAGGAACACCGGUGGCGAAGGCGGCUUCCUGGACGACAACUGACGCUGAGACGCGAAAGCGUGGGGAGCAAACAGG
rnacentral:rRNA from 1 species